AGCAGCCGCGGUAAUUCCAGCUCCAAUAGCGUAUAUUAAAGUUGUUGCAGUUAAAAAGCUCGUAGUUGAAUUUCGGGGUCAGUAGGUUGGUCAUGCCACUGGUAUGUACUGGCCUCACUGAUUCCUCCUUCCUGAUGAGCCGUAAUGCCAUUAAUUUGGUGUUGCGAGGAAUCUGGACUGUUACUUUGAAAAAAUUAGAGUGUUUAAAGCAGGCUAACGCUUGAAUACAUUAGCAUGGAAUAGUGAAAUAGGACGUUCGAUCUUAUUUUGUUGGUUUCUAAGAUUGACGUAAUGAUUAAUAGGGAUAGUUGGGGGCAUUAGUAUUCAAUUGUCAGAGGUGAAAUUCUUGGAUUUAUUGAAGACUAACUACUGCGAAAGCAUUUGCCAAGGAUGUUUUCAUUAAUCAAGAACGAAAGUUAGGGGAUCGAAGACGAUCAGAUACCGUCGUAGUCUUAACCAUAAACUAUGCCGACUAGGGAUCGGAUGAUGUUAAUUUUUAAUGACUCAUUC
rnacentral:rRNA from 1 species